rnacentral:rRNA from 1 species
GUGAACGCUGGCGGUAGGCCUAACACAUGCAAGUCGCACGGCAGCACAGUAAGAGCUUGCUCUUACGGGUGGCGAGUGGCGGACGGGUGAGGAAUACAUCGGAAUCUACUUUUUCGUGGGGGAUAACGUAGUGAAACUUACGCUAAUACCGCAUACGACCUACGGGUGAAAGCAGGGGAUCUUCGGACCUUGCGCGAUUGAAUGAGCCGAUGUCGGAUUAGCUAGUUGGCGGGGUAAAGGCCCACCAAGGCGACGAUCCGUAGCUGGUCUGAGAGGAUGAUCAGCCACACUGGAACUGAGACACGGUCCAGACUCCUACGGGAGGCAGCAGUGGGGAAUAUUGGACAAUGGGCGCAAGCCUGAUCCAGCCAUACCGCGUGGGUGAAGAAGGCCUUCGGGUUGUAAAGCCCUUUUGUUGGGAAAGAAAAGCAGCAGGUUAAUACCCCGCUGUUCUGACGGUACCCAAAGAAUAAGCACCGGCUAACUUCGUG